UUUUGGUGAAGGUUGCAGUAACGCGAAUUCAGUUUUAUGAGGCAAAGCGAAUGAUUAGAGGCCUUGGGGUUGAAACAACCUUAACCUAUUCUCAAACUUCAAAUAUAUAAGAAGCCCUUGUUGCAAGGUUAAUUGAACGUGGACAUUAGAAUGAUGCGUUAGCAGAACUGGUGAUGCGGGAUGAACCG
rnacentral:ncRNA from 1 species